GCAUGAUGAAGAAAGGCACUGCAGUUUUUUCUCUUUUAUUAAGUUUGGUUUACGAAUUACUUGCAAAUUCUAUUACCUACCAAGAACCAAACGUAUAUUCUGACGAAGACAGUGAUGCUGUUCUUAAAUGCAGCUACACGUCUAGCCAAUCGAACCCAUAUUUAUACUGGUAUCGUUACGAUCCCAAAGAUGGCCUUAAGUAUAUUUUAUGCAAAGGUAAAACCAGUUACUCUCAUACAGCGGAGUUUGCAAAAGGAAAGUUUUCGUCGGUAACCGAGGCCAGUCAAUCGGUAUUAACAAUUUCCAGAGUGAAUGUGCAGGACUCCGGGGUUUAUUACUGUGCGAUUGAUACAGCACAGUGA